UUUCUGGAUUUGACUGUCAGCUUGAGUGGA
rnacentral:piRNA from 1 species